AUUGGAGGACCAGCUCGCUCUCUGCAACUCUCACAUGGUCGCCCACUGAAGCUAAGCAGGGCUGCGCCUGGUCAGUACCUGGAUGGGAGACCACAUGGUAAAGCUGGGUUGCUGCCAGAA
ensembl:rRNA 5S_rRNA 5S ribosomal RNA